AAGCAGAAAGAAAGCAGCAAGUGUUUCUGCCCGGAAUCACAUGAGGCAAGACUCAACAGAAGAUGGAACAUUUAAGCAGGCCUUGAGGCCAACAGCUGCCCAUUGUCACUGGUUCUACCUUUAGCAGCAUCUCUCUCCUCUCCUGAUAUCCUACAAGCCUGGAAACCUGGGACUGUUCAGAGCCCCGAGAGCUAGAAUAAGUGUGCCAUGUAAUGUGGAUGGACUGGCCGCCUUAAGCAGGGCUGCACAGGAGGAAAUCUGUCUCCUCCCCGCUCUGCUGAAACACUAAAUGAAGAACUUUUUAAUUGUUACUGAGUAUCUGAGUCAUUGAAUUCCUCAGUUUUCUGGAACUGUGAUCACACAAGGCUUCGCUUUAGAACACGGAUACUCUACAUAGUAAGAAGCUACAGUUGAACUGCACAUGCCACCCUCAUUACCACUCUCAUCAAAUGCUGUAGCUUCAACUUCCUCCUUCAAUCCAGUUUAAAGACUGGGACAUGGAAAAUAAGAAAGUGUUCGGACAUUUUCAGAAUGGAAUAACGCGUGUGAAGGGCGGGGUCCUGAUGCAGUGGCCACAGGCACACCUGAAGGUGUAGAUUUUCUUUUUGGGACAAAGACUCCCUAUUGUCCUUCAAAAAAAAAAAUCUUAUCAUAUUUUAAUUAUAUCACCCAGGAAAAUAGACUGUCCUGGAAAACAAAAGUCACCAGCCUCUGCUAAAGCUGGAGUCUUUAGGGGUAAAAUCAGGGGCACAGGUCAAACAUAGUUUUCGGUGACCUAUGUCUGCAAGGCAGUCAGAAGCAAUAAACUGUGCAGGGUUGAUUAAGCUUGAUGAUAUCAAUGUACUCUAUUGAGUAUUGAAAUAUUGAAAUAUUUGUGAUGUUAUCUAUUUAUUUGUAUUGUUCCAUGGGUAUGUAUCUCCUAUUUGCUUUCAUCAGAGAUUCAGAGGACAGUCCUCAAAAUGAAAAGAUUCUUGUAGUUGUUUUCUGAAACAUCCAAGAAGUACCUGGAAAGACAAAGGGAACAAAUAACUACUACUAUUAAUCAUUGGACGCUGAUAAUGUGCUAAAGGUGAUAUCUUAUUCACAACUGCACCAUGUAAGUGAUCAUCCAACAUUCUUCAGUGUUGUACUCAAGGCUCAGAGAGGGUAAGAAACUUGCCAGAGUCAUCCAGCAAGCAAGGAUCAAAUCUGGGAUUCAAAACAGGCCCCGAAGCCUCCAGAGCCUAGAGUGGGAGCUGGCACUGACAUGAGGACGGGAGAGUGGAAAAAGAAUCCUAGGAUUCCUGCAACGAAGCAGGUCUGGUCCCGACAAGGGGCCCCAGGCCUCACAGGGGGACUUGCCCAGUGAACACAGGGUGCCGGGAACUCCGUACCUCCCUCCUGCAGCCCGCAAUUUUCCAUCACCAUUGGAGAGCUGUUUGAAAUACUACAGCUCCAAUCCCCAUGACCCUCUUGAAAUUCCUCCACCAUCCCUGAGGCCUCCCAGUCCCAGUGUGGGAAAUUCUGCUUUAGAGGGAUGUUAUGAAUAUUAAGGAACAAGUGAUUAUUAACCUUUUGGCAAACAUACAGUCCUAUAGAAAUGUUAACCGUAUGUUCCCAUUUAACUUCAUUUAUAGCACUUGGACGACACUAAGACAUUUGCCUCUUGUUUAGGACUUAUACUAGUCAGAAUUUGCAAAGAAAUCAUUAGGCACUUCCUACAUAAGGCAUAAGAGACGCUGUCUACAUCUUCGUGCCUUCUGAUCCAGAGGGUUUGGUUUGGUUUGGUUUUUGCUUUGAAUAAUACCCUGUAGUUGACUGAGUCUGUUACAAAUAAUCUCUUAAUUAUGUGACUUACUCCACUCAAAAGACUUCAGCAAUUCACCAUUCCUCUGAGACCAUUUACAGGUUAUUAAAAAAUCUAAGUUCCGUAUAGUUGGCCUUCAACUUGGAUGUUAAGCUUGACAUGAUUCCUUUCCACGUGUUUUCAUUUUCUUCUGCGACAGCACCUCCUGCCCCCCAGAAUAGUGCAUUUAUCUCCCAAAUUCAAUCAUCUAUAUUAACUGGGGACCUGCUAUCUGGAUAAGUGAUAUCCACAAGUGUUCCAAGAAACUUUAAUAUUAAUAACUUUAUCGCAAUCAAUAGUUCCAAAUUCAUCAGACAGGAUUUCACUAGAGUUGCCAAAAAGGAAUACAAUUUAACUGCUCUGAGAGCCUUCACCCUGUUCUCAUCCCGUGUUUCCAUGGAAGAUGCAAAGAACAGAGACACACGAGAAAGGUGGACAGGCAGAGUCAAGAAUGAAACGGAAUGAGGUCUCUGUCAACAAGCUGGAUAAUGUCCAUUUCCCUGAGCUUGAGUCUGUUCCUCUCUGUUCCUCCUUCUGUUUUUUCUCUCUCCUCACUGGAGUGCUAAUGAAUACCUUCCACUGCUCUGGAAUGCCAUUAUGUUGUGAUUGUCCUCCCUUGCGAGGUCUUUGCAGAGGCCACGAUGAGACCGGUCUCAUCCACGGCUUUGUGUCCUCCUCCCUGAUACAGUCCCCAAAGGCCCUCUCCACUCAGGGCUCAAGUUCCACUCACUGGGUGGGUCAUACCCCCAGCCCUGUAAAAUGUUUCUGAAGGAUUGGGGCUCUGACAUACCUCACCCAAAUCUUUUGCAUCUUUAAUAAACGAAGUUAGUACCAAGAUAUCUUAAAGCAAUCAAGUCUUCAUUUACACCCUUUAAAUAUCUGUAGACAGUUAUCAUGGCCCUCUGUCAAGCAACACGAUGACCCGGU
rnacentral:lncRNA from 10 species